rnacentral:lncRNA from 1 species
UUCAUUUCAACGUAUUGUGUUAAAUACACCAAAGCCUUCUUCGCUAAGUUCUUUGAAUUUUCUUUUGUUGAAGCUUGUAUGUUGAAGCUUUGUGAGUGGAGCAUGUAGGUUGAGGUAAUGUUCCCUUAAUUUCCCGAGUGAGGAAAACUUCUCGGUUGGAGACUUGGAAAAUCCAAGUCACUGAGUGGGAUCGGCUAUAUGAAUUUUAGAACGCCAUUGUGUUCUGUCCUGUGUCAUAUCCUCCGUUAGAUCCAAGUACUCUAAGUCUUUUCUUAGGGUCUCUUCCAAAGUUUUCCUAGGUCUUCCUCUACCCCUUCGGCCCUGAACCUCUGUCCCAUAGUCGCAUCUUCUAAUCGGAGCGUCAGUAGGCCUUCUUUGCACAUGUCCAAACCACCGUAAUCGAUUUUCUCUCAUCUUUCCUUCAAUUUCGGCUACUCCUACUUUACCCCGGAUAUCUUUAUUCCUAAUCUUAUCCUUUCUCGUGUGCCCACACAUCCAACGAAGCAUCCUCAUCUCCGCUACACCCAUUUUGUGUACGUGUUGAUGCUUCACCGCCCAACAUUCUGUGCCAUACAGCAUCGCUGGCCUUAUUGCCGUCCUAUAAAAUUUUCCCUUGAGUUUCAGUGGCAUACGGUGGUCACAAAACACGCCAGAUGCACUCUUCCACUUCAUCCAUCCAGCUUGUAUUCUAUGGUUGAGAUCUCCAUCUAAUUCUCCGUUCUUUUGCAAGAUAGAUCCUAGGUAACGAAAACGGUUGCUCUUUGGUAUUUCUUAAUCUCCGAUCCUCACCCCUAACUCGUUUUGGCCUCCAUUUGCACUGAACUUGCACUCCAUAUAUUCUGUCUUUGAUCGGCUUAGGCGAAGACCUUUAGAUUCCAACACUUCUCUCCAAAGGUUAAGCUUUGCAUUUACCCCUUCCUGAGUUUCAUCUAUCAACACUAUAUCGUCUGCGAAAAGCAUACACCAAGGAAUAUCAUCUUGAAUAUGUCCUGUUAACUCAUCCAUUACCAACGCAAAAAGGUAAGGACUUAAGGAUGAGCCUUGAUGUAAUCCUACAGUUAUGGGAAAGCUUUCGGUUUGUCCUUCAUGAGUUCUUACGGCAGUCUUUGCUCCUUCAUACAUAUCCUGUAUAGCUUGGAUAUAUGCUAUUCGUACUCCUUUCUUCUCUAAAAUCCUCCAAAGACAUGGGAGCAUGAAGAAAGACCCAAAAUACUAAUCAGUAAAAGGCAUUCCUAUUCCAUACAGGAUACAGAACUAGACGAUAAAUAAUGGGAAGCCUUACAAGAUUUAACUUUAAUUAUCCUCAUGGUUGCUGCAGCGGUCUCUAUGGGUGUUGGAAUUGCAACUGAAGGAAUGCCGAAGGGUAUGUAUGAUGGCUUGGGAAUAAUAGUUAGCAUAUUGUUAGUAGUGUUGGUGACUGCAAUUAGUGACUACAAGCAGUCUCUGCAAUUUAAAGAACUGGACAAGGAGAAGAAAAACAUAAUGGUUCAGGUAACUACAAUUAGUGACUACAAGCAGUCUCUACGAUGAGCCUUUGCCUGUACAUAUCAGAUGCGGCAAAUGGAUCACAUAGUAUUGAGAAUCUCACUCUUGCCUCUUCACAACCUUUCACCCAGUCAACUCAAAUGUUGAAUUUUGAAUGAUAUCUUCUUUGUAUUACCAAGAAUAACAUGCGGAUUACAAGGGUGGAAGAGAUAUUUAAGGAGAUGACAACACCCCUGCUUUUGUUAUCAGUGUGCAGCACCCAUACUUACAAAAUCCUAAACAAAUCUCCACUUACAAAAUGAUGGACUCAAGGAAUAAACAAUAACAGCACUUACAAAAUCCUAGCUAGUAAACACAGAUAGAAUACAUAACCGUUAUAAACGAUAUAGGCACAGAUGGUACUCUGCAUCAUUUUUGGAUGACUGUCAUGAUAAAAAAUAUAUAUAAAUCGAUUGAAGGAACCACAUCUAACCAUAUUUUUCUACAAAUAAACAAAAAUUAGACAAAUAAAAUUGGCAGAAAUCAUGAAAAAAAACGAAAAAAAGGAUAUUAAUCAGCCUAAACCAAAACCGUGAACCAAAAACUCAAGCCUAGUACUAAUUAAAAAGAAUAACAUAAAUGAAGAAUUUAGAAAAGAAAAAAAAAUAUAAAACACGAUAGCAGAUGGAGUGAGAGAGAUAAGAUACGAGCACUGACCUGGAGGUUGGAGUUUUAGAAGAGACUGCGAGAGCUUGAAGAAGACGAUGAAACGGUGUCGUAGAGGGGUGUGCUGAAUCCCAAAAGACGAGGGAACGUCGUAGGACAAAUCAGAAGCAAAGUUCACAGAUAAGAAGUAAAGUAGAGCUUUAUCCUUUCUUAUAUACCUAAACCCUAAGAUAAAUAAGAAGCAAACAUUCUAAAAAAAAAAAAAUAGAGAAGUAUCAAUUUUUCUUACUUCUCUCUCAAUUUUUCUUGUUUCCUCCACAAAAUCUAUUUUUUUUUUCCACAAACCAUAUCACCUUCCCCAAUUAAUUUUUUUCCCUAUCCUCCAUCCCCAAUUUUUUUUCCCGACACCCAAACACUCAUCCCUUUGCUCUCCCCACCCCUCUUUCACUCUCACUCUCCCAUCCCCAAAUUUAAAAAUCCAAACAAAUAAAUAAGGAAAUUUUAGACAAGAGAAGAUUAAUAGAGGAAGGACGCCGAGCCGGAGAACACGACCUGGAGAAUGAGAGAGAUUGCUAGGAUUGAAGUUUUCUGGUUUGGGUUUUGCGAGAGGUGUGCUGAAAGUGUGAGGAAAGGAGGGUAAUUUUGGGCUUAUUGAAAAAUUCAUUACAGAUUUUACUGUUCACCCGUGUUUUUCUAUAAGUUGGUUAUUUGAAGCUGCUUUUUGCAGCUUUAGAUUUUGAGCUUAUUUUCAUCCAAAACUUUGAAAUAAAGUUGAUUUAGAGUGUUUACAAAACACUAAAAACUUUCCCAAUUUUUUUCAAUACAACUUUUUAAAACUCUCCCAAUUUUUUUUUAUGCCCAUUUUUUUUUAAAAAUCACCUUAAUACCCACUUUUUUCAAGGAGCCUCCUGAUUUUAUUCAAGACACUCUCUUAGACGUUUGUAUGCCCCCUUAAUUUCUAAUAAAUUCCGUAUUGUUUCUCUUAAAAAGAAAUAGAAUGACUAUCAAAAAUGGAAACUGGAAAUAUUUGUUAGGUUUAAAAGGCUAAAAAUACAAUCCAGUCUAAAAAUGGGUUCUUUGUCCCUAAGAUGAAAUUGUGAUCACAUGUGAUUCAAGGUUUGUACCACAAACUUACAAUAAUAGUACUCUUUAAAUACUACAAGACAAAUGAUUUUUACAUACUUUUUUUCUCUUUUACACAUUUAUUUAUGUUCCAUAUUUCCUGUUAUGUAUCCAAUAUAAAGGUUACAAGAAAAGAAAAGAGUACGUAGGAAAAGAAGAAUAACAACAACAACAACAACAAAGCCUUUUCCCACUAAGUGGGGUCGGCUAUAUGAAUCCUAGAACGCCAUUGCGCUCGGUUUUGUGUCAUGUCCUCCGUUAGAUCCAAGUACUCAAGUCUUUUCUUAGGGUCUCUUCCAAAGUUUUCCUAGGUCUUCCUCUACCCCAUCGGCCCUGAACCUCUGUCCCGUAGUCACAUUUUCGAACCGGAGCGUCAGUAGGCCUUCUUUGCACAUGUCCAAACCACCGGAACCGAUUUUCUCUCAUAUUUCCUUCAAUUUUGGCUACUCCUACUUUACCUCGGAUAUCCUCAUUCCCAAUCUUAUCCUUUCUCGUGUGCCCAUACAUCCCACGAAGCAUCCUCAUCUCCGCUACACCCAUUUUGUGUACGUGUUGAUGCUUCACCGCCCAACAUUCUGUGCCAUACAACAUCGCUGACCUUAUUGCCGUCCUAUAAAAAUUUUCCUUGAGCUUCAGUGGCCUACGACGGUCACACAACACGCCGGAUGCACUCUUACACUUCAUCCAUCCAGCUUGUAUUCUAUGGUUGAGAUCUCCAUCUAAUUCUCCGUUCUCUUGCAAGAUAGAUCCUAAGUAGCGAAAACGGUCACUUUUUGUGAUCUUCGCUAGAUUGCUCCGGUCAUUAGUGUGGAUAAGUAUAUAAAUGGAUAGAGAUAGGAAAGCAAACACAAGAUGUACGUGGUUCACCCAGAUUGGCUACGUCCACGGAAUAGAGGAGUUCUCAUUAAUUGUGAAAGGUUUGCACAAGUACAUAGGUUCAAGCUCUCCUUUAGUGAGUACAAGUGAAUGAUUUAGUACAAAUGACAUUAGGAAAUAUUGUGGGAGAAUGAUCUCGUAGCCACGAAACUUCUAAGUACCGGAGUGUGGUAUCGUCUUGACUUGCCUUAUCUGUCUCAUAGGUAGAUGUGGCAUCUUCUCUGGAAGUACUCUUCCUCCAUCCAGGGGUGGUAUCUGUAACUGGUGGAGAUGCACAAGGUAAUGUAUCAAUUUCACUUGAAGCUUACUUGUAGUUUCAUGGCUUGGUCAAGCGCGAUACAAACCAUGUAGUAGGAGUCCCCCAAGUCGCCGAGCUAGGGGAUCUGCUGAAAGAGGUGACAGACAAGGUAAGCAAUCAGAGCUCCGGCUGAUUGUUCACAUUCUCCCUAUCUUGCAGGCAGCAUGAAGGAUAAAGAGAAGAAAAAUGAGGAGAGAUGAUAUAGGAUACUUUUGCUUUUGAAGAAGUAACUUUCCACAGGCUUAUUCUUGAACUGAGCUGGAGGGUUUUCUGGUUUCCUCCAGAGUAUAAGGGCCGACUGAAGAAUUUGAGGGUCAAAACAAGUCCAUCAAAUCUAGAGUACGUUCGACCCUGCUGAUAUGGGAUACUUUUGCUUUUGACAGAGUAGUGGAUGUAUCGGCACGUGUGCUGUUACGCUUGUCUCUACAUGCUUCCUUGUAUCCUUCUCACUUGCCCUAUCUGUUCCUCAGGCAGAUGCGGUAUCUUCCCUGGAAGCAUAAGAUGUUGAAGAUGAGUACUCGAGAGCAAUGCCAGGUAAGUAAUCAGGUAAGGGGUUCCAGGCAGUCAGUUCCUGGCUGGAAGCUUGAUUCCAAGUGCUGACUGAUUGCUCUCUUUCUCCUUGUCUUGCAGAUAAGAACAAGGCCAAAGGAAAAGACAGGGAAAAAGCAUGAUAUGGGAUACUCUUGCUUUUAACCCUGAUGAUAUGAGAUAUUCUUGCUCUAGUAUAGCUUGUUUACAGAGGUAUUAUCGGGGGAAAGAAAGCUGAAUAUUUCGAAAGGCUUCGUUGGGAGUGCCCUCUCAGAUAAGAGAAAAGGUUGAGCAUUUUUGCAGGUCUGCCUGUCCGUUAGGGAUGGAGGUCGACAUAUAUAGGAGUCUCCCUAACAUCAAGUAAUAAUGCUAUUCCUUUACCCUGCUUGGUCAUAGCACGGUAGUGGGAGCUGCCAGCUUCACAUGUUUUAACUCUGUCAGAGCACUUUGAAAAAAUGGUCUGUGGUAUCUGGAAAGCUGAUGUUGCGUGUGAAGAUUACAGACAAGCUUUAUCCAAGGAGAUCCAGCUCUUGAAGUUGGGAAAAUGGUGCCUUUUCGGUUUUCGAACAAGCAAUCCUGUCGGGGAUCUGGCUCUCGAGAUUCGGAGAACGAUGCCUCUUCGAUUUUUGAGAAAGCAAUCUUGCUGGGGGUCUGGCUCUCGAGAUUCGGAGAGCGGUGUCUCUUCGAUUUUUGAGAAAGUAAUCAUGUUGGGAGUCUGGCUCUCGAGAUUCGGAGGGCGGUGGCUCUUCGAUUUUGGAGCAAGCAAUCUUGUUGGGAGUGUUUUCUCAAAUGUGAGUAAAGGUUGGGCAUGUUUGCUAGUCUACCUUGCUACGAAGCACAAAGGUUGACACACAGGGACUUUCCAAUUAUCCAGCAAUGGUACUGUUCCUUUACCCUCUCUUCGAUUUUUGAGAAAGUAAUCAUGUUGGGAGUCUGGCUCUCGAGAUUCGGAGGGCGGUGCCUCUUCGAUUUUGGAGCAAGCAAUCUUGUUGGGAGUGUUUUCUCGAAUGUGAGUAAAGGUUGGGCAUGUUUGCUAGUCUACCUUGCCACGAAGCACAGAGGUUGACACAUCGGGACUUUCCAAUUAUCCAGCAGUGGUACUGUUCCUUUACCCUUGUGGGUAAUAAUAUGGUAGCUAGACCUUCAAAAUUUAUGUGUCUAAACUUUGUUAGUGUUGUUUCUUUGCAAUUCUUUUACCCUUCUUGGUCAGAGCGAUGUAGUGGGAGCUGCAAGCUUCACGUGUCUCAACUUUGUCAGAUAACUUUGGCAAAGUUAUCUGUGGUACCCAUGAGCUACUGUUGCGUGUGGGAAGUGGGUGAUUGAACAGUACGAUUCAUGUGCUUUCUACUUCGCCAGAAAUCUUCGAUAGAAUGCCUAAAAUUUCUGCAAAGCUGAGUGUGCGUGUGACAGGUGCUGACAAGGCUGGAAAAGUAUGUGCCUCUUCGAUUUCUGAGAUCGGCCCUCGUGGUCUCUGAGCAGCCCAGCUUUUGAGAAAGCAAGCCUCUUCGAUUUCUGAGAUCGGCCUUCGUGGUCUUUGAGCAGCCCAGCUUUUGAGAAAGCAAACGCCUCUUCGAUUUCUGAGAUCGACCCUCGUGGUCUCUGAGCAGCCCAGCUUUUGAGAAAGGAAACGCCUCUUCGAUUUCUGAGCAGGCGCCUCUUCGAUUUCUGAAGCUUCGUCGAGUGCAGAGUUUUUAUAGGGGCUGACAUUAAGUUCCAAAGCACACUUGAAUAUCCACCAGUAGAAGCUCCAUUCUUGCACUUCUAAGAUCUUGAUUUGUCCGACCUCUUCUCUCUUCAACACCUUUGAAAAUGUCUGGCCCCUCCGACCGUCGUUUUGACUUGAACCUUGUUGAAGAGGCAGCCCCGCCUUCUCCAGACAACAUAUGGCGCCCAUCCUUCGUCUCCCCUACUAGUCCUCUUACCGUUGGGGAUUCCGUGAUGAAGAAUGAUAUGACCGCUGCGGUAGGUGGCCAGGAACCUUCUCACUCCCAAAGAUAACAGACUACUUUCCAAACGGUCUGAUGAGUUGGCUGUUAAGGAUUCUCUGGCUCUCAGUGUUCAGUGUGCAGGUUCUGUGUCUAAUAUGGCCCAACGCCUAUUUGCUCGAACCCGCCAAGUUGAAUCAUUGGCGGCUGAAGUGAUGAGUCUCAAACAGGAGAUUAGAGGGCUCAAGCAUGAGAAUAAAAAGUUGCACCGGCUCGCACAUGACUAUGCUACAAACAUGAAGAGGAAGCUUGACCAGAUGAAGGAAUCUGAUGGUCAGGUUUUACUUGAUCAUCAGAGAUUUGUGGGUUUGUUCCAAAGGCAUUUAUUGCCUUCGUCUUCUGGGGCUGUACCGCGUAAUGAAGCUCCUAAUGAUCAACCUCUGAUGCAUUCUCCUUCUAGGGUUUUGUCCAGUACUGAGGCUCCGAAUGAUCCCCCUCCGGUGCCUUCUUUUUCUGGGGCUCUACCGACUGCUGAGACUUCUCCUAAGCAACCUUUGUGAAGGCUCCCUCUUGUUUGUUUAUUUUGACUCAAGUAUAUGUACAUAUUUGUAACUUAUCGGGGAUAUCAAUAAAUAAGCUUUCCUUCAUUUCAACGUAUUGUGUUAAAUACACCAAAGCCUUCUUCGCUAAGUUCUUUGAAUUUUCUUUUGUUGAAGCUUGUAUGUUGAAGCUUUGUGAGUGGAGCAUAUAGAUUGAGGUAGUGUUCCCUUAAUUUCCCGAGUGAGGAAAACUUCUCGGUUGGAGACUUGGAAAAUCCAAGUCACUGAGUGGGAUCGGCUAUAUGAAUCUUAGAACGCCAUUGUGUUCUGUCCUGUGUCAUGUCCUCCGUUAGAUCCAAGUACUCUAAGUCUUUUCUUAGGGUCUCUUCCAAAGUUUUCCUAGGUCUUCCUCUGCCCUUCGGCCCUGAACCUCUGUCCCAUAGUCGCAUCUUCUAAUCGGAGCGUCAGUAGGCCUUGUUUGCACAUGUCCAAACCACCGUAACCGAUUUUCUCUCAUCUUUCCUUCAAUUUCGGCUACUCCUACUUUACCCUGGAUAUCCUCAUUCCUAAUCUUAUCCUUU